rnacentral:misc_RNA from 1 species
GAUGAAGAACGUAGCGAAAUGCGAUAAGUAGUGUGAAUUGCAGAAUUCAGUGAAUCAUCGAAUCUUUGAACGCACAUUGCGCCCAUUGGUACUCCAAUGGGCAUGCCUGUUCGAGCGUCAUUUGUACCCUCAAGCUUUGCUUGGUGUUGGGCGUUUGUCUUUCGAGACUCGCCUUAAAAAGAUUGGCAGCCGGCAUACUGGUUUCGGAGCGCAGCACAAAUUGCGGUCUGUUCCUGAAUGUUGACGUCCAUGAAGCCCCCAUUAUCACUUUUGACCUCGGAUCAGGUAGGGAUACCCGCUGAACUUAAGCAUAUCAAUAAGCGGAGGA